rnacentral:rRNA from 1 species
GGACCUCCAAUCAGUCAAGAUUACCC